CUCCUUUUUAAAAUAUAAAAGGUAUACUUUGCUCCAUGAAAAUUUUUAAAUAGCCGCAGUAUUUUGACUGUGCUAAGGUAGCAAAAUAAAUAGUUUUAUAAUUGAAAACUAGAAUGAAGGAGCUGACGAGGUUAAAACUUUUAAUUUAACAAAUUAAGAAAUUUAUAUYUGCUUUAAAAAGAGCAGCUUUCUAAGGGGACGAUAAGACCCUAUAAAGCUUUUAUUUUUUUUUAAAUUUUUAUUUAGAAAACGGAAUUUAUUUCCACAGAAUUGAGCUGGGGCGGUUUNUAAAAUUCUUUAGAAAAAAUUACACUUUUAGUGUUUACAAAGAUCUAAAAAAAAGUUAGAAUAAGCUACUUUAGGGAUAACAGCACAAUUUUCUUAAAUAGAUCUUAUAGAAAAGAAAGACUUGUGACCUCGAUGUUGAAUUUUGAGGGGCUUU
rnacentral:rRNA from 1 species